UACGGAGGGUGCAAGCGUUAUCCGGAUUCACUGGGUUUAAAGGGUGCGUAGGUGGGUUGGUAAGUCAGUGGUGAAAUCUCCGAGCUUAACUUGGAAACUGCCAUUGAUACUAUCAGUCUUGAAUACCGUGGAGAUGAGCGGAAUAUGUCAUGUAGCGGUGAAAUGCUUAGAUAUGACGUAGAACACCAAUUGCGAAGGCAGCUCGUUACACGAAUAUUGACACUCAGGCACGAAAGCGUGGGGAUCAAACAGG
rnacentral:rRNA from 1 species